rnacentral:rRNA from 1 species
GAGGGAGGAGGCAAGCGUUAUCCGGAAUUAUUGGGCGUAAAGGGUACGUAGGCGGCUGGUCAAGUCUGGGGUCAAAGGCCACAGCUCAACUGUGGGAAGGCCCUGGAAACUGACCGGCUAGAGUGAGGUAGGGGUUGCGGGAAUUCCCGGUGUAGCGGUGAAAUGCGUAGAGAUCGGGAAGAACACCUGAGGCGGAAGCGCGCAACUGGGCCACAACUGACGCUGAGGUACGAAAGCGAGGGGAGCGAAUGGG